UAUAAGUCAGCAGAAGAAACGGGCAAAGAGAUCAGUUUCUGACUGUAAGUGGUCUCUUUGUGUCUCUGCUUCUGUUUAUUUUUUGUUUUUUCGUGACUCCUAUUAUUAAAAAAGGAACAGUUAAUGUUCUGGAAGGUUCACAGCACAGGCAGCUCAAAUCAUCACAAUACUCAGUAUUUGAUUUGUUGAAUAAUAAAUCAUUAAAUUUUUUAGCUGCUGGUUUUGUUUCAGUAUCCUCAGUCAAAACAAAACACCAGUGUACGCGUCAGGUCAUCCACCCUUCUGAAGUCCCCCUGUUUUAUUUUCUCCCAUGUGGACCAAAGUGUAUUUUAACAGAAAAACUGUAAUACAUCUAUGAAUGUAUGGUGGUGCGAUCAAAACAAACACACAGUCAAAUGUUUUAGUGGCAUGAUUACAUAUAUAGUUGAUGCAAGGAUACAAAUAUGCAGACAAAUUAGUGUGAGUGAAAAAGACCUUUCUGCUCUAAGUGAAACACUGCCAUCACUCUGGGUGCCGACAUUUUCCCGUAGUUUCUGGAUCCUGACUCCUUCUUGAACAAUCCAACCAAUUCAAACUUACAGCUGAGUCUAGAGAAACAAUACAACUGAGAUUUCACACCUACUGAAAUUUAGCUACCACGGCAGUAAUUAACAGUAAUUACAUUGUUUUAAUUACAAUCCUCUUGUCCAACGUACAGAAUCAGUCAUUUGGAUCGGGAUGAAGACCUGAAACGGACAGGGUAGAGCUUCGUUCAGUUGAGACGACCAACAAGAGACGGGGAGGAGGCGCGUGCUUCUAUGUCAACAAAAGCUUGAGUCUGACUGCGUCAGAUCCCGGGGUCGUUAUCAGGACCUCACCUUGGCAGUGGAGUUUGCUCGGCUCAUUUUGGGUGAGACUGCAGGUUGAGGCAACGCGCCGCUGAUCCACGUCAACAUGCCGCUCUGAGACCCAGCUGUCGGGCUGAGGAUGUAAACGUUUAAAAUCAGGCUUUUUAUUCAUUCUCAGCUACGCAGCAUCCAUGGAGGUGUCAGUGGUCAACGUGUUGGGCGUCUCUUGUCUUACCUGAGUUGCUCAGUUGGGG